UACGGGGGGGGUAAGCGUUGUUCGGAAUUACUGGGCGUAAAGGGCUCGUAGGCGGCCAACUAAGUCAUACGUGAAAUCCCUCAGCUUAACUGGGGAACUGCGUGUGAUACUGGAUGGCUUGGAUUUGGGAGAGGGACGCGGAAUUCCAGGUGUAGCGGUGAAAUGCGUAGAUAUCUGGAGGAACACCGGUGGCGAAGGCGGCGUCCUGGACCAACACUGACACUGAGGAGCGAAAGCCAGGGGAGCAAACAGG
rnacentral:rRNA from 1 species